rnacentral:miRNA from 1 species
UUGUUGGGGUUUUUUUGUAU